rnacentral:lncRNA from 1 species
AGGGGGUUAUCAGGAAAUAAGGAAGAAAGGCCCACAUGUCGGGAUUACAUAGAGAUAUCAACCCACCACGCAAUUUUCUACCAUCUAGAAGACUCCAGAAGCCACGGGAAGGAAGCGGAGCCCGAAAGGGGCCAGGCCCAGGGCGCCCGCCCUGAGGACCUGGGCGCCCGCCCCCCUCUGGACUCCGUUCCAGACUCUCUUCGCACACGACGUUCCACCGACCUAUUGGAUCCAGAAUAACAUAGUACCACCUCGCCUAUCGACCCAAAAACGCAUAGAAGGGGAGGACUAUAUAAGGAGACCCCCUCUGGCCCCUGGAGG